CUGGAGUUGCCGUAUGGCAGGAAAAACGUGGGGAAAACUUCCACUCUGUCAGGGCAGUCACACACCGAUUUGUCAGGCGAACAGAGGACGUCAGCGGUGUCACCUGUGAGCUUCUCUGUGCGCGAGCUCCGACCCUGCUGUUGUUUUUAGCUUAGCUGCACAGCUAGCUGUCCAACCCCGUCUGCUGCUUCAUGUUAUGGACAUGUGGGAGACAAGGACACUUUUUAACCCGGCUCAGCAGGGACUCUAACCUGUCCUCUGUCCUCACUGGAGACUUCAGCUCUGAGCUGGACACAAGAACUGGUGUAAAAUGCCAAACAUCAGGUGGUUUAACAGCUGUGUGAUCCUCCGGACAUUAAAGCAGCCUUCUGUACGCCUCUGCAUACGGCCCAUCUGUG